rnacentral:rRNA from 1 species
CGGGGGGGAGCGAGCGUUGUCCGGGAAUUACUGGGGCGUAAAGGGCGUGUAGGCGGUUUAAUAAGUCAGAUGUUAAAGCCCCCGGCUUAACCCGGGGGGGAUUGUCAUUUGAAACUGUUAGGCUUGAGUGCGAGAGAGGGUAGCGGAAUUCCCCAGUGUAGCGGUGAAAUGCGUAGAUAUUGGGAAGAACACCAGUAGCGAAGGCGGCUACCUGGCUCGCAACUGACGCUAAUGCGCGAAAGCGUGGGGAGCAAACAGGAUUAGAUACCCUGGUAGUCCACGCUGUAAACGAUGAGCACUAGGUGUUGGUUUGCCGCAGGCUGAUCAGUGCCGCAGUUAACGCAUUAAGUGCUCCGCCUGGGGAGUACGAUCGCAAGGUUG